rnacentral:rRNA from 1 species
CGGGACGGGUGAGUAACGCGUGGGUAACCUACCCUGUACACACGGAUAACAUACCGAAAGGUAUGCUAAUACGGGAUAAUAUAUUUGAGAGGCAUCUCUUGAAUAUCAAAGGUGAGCCAGCACAGGAUGGACCCGCGUCUGAUUAGCUAGUUGGUAAGGUAACGGCUUACCAAGGCGACGAUCAGUAGCCGACCUGAGAGGGUGAUCGGCCACAUUGGAACUGAGACACGGUCCAA